ensembl:misc_RNA Metazoa_SRP Metazoan signal recognition particle RNA
GCCGGGUGUGGUGGCGGGCGCCUGUAGUCCUAGCUACCUGGGAGGCUGAGGCGGGAGAAUUGCUUGAACCUGGGAGGCGGAGGUUGCAGUGAGCCAAGAUCGUGCCACUGCACUCCAGCCUGGGUGACAGAGCGAGACUCUGUCUCAA